UGCAGGUUUAUGGGACAUUCCCACCGUAGUGUAAACAGGAAGUGGAAUAAAAAAGGCUGCUCAGAGUUACUACUCAAGAUAAUAAGAAGUUCAGAAUGUACUUGGCCAAGCUCACAUCAGUGUUACUACACAAAUCACUUUCACAUUAUGUAUUAGUGUCCUGUGGGGUUGAGGAUUCGCUCCUUUAAAUAGCCGUUAUUUAAAUGUCUAAUUCAAACCCUAACGCACAUGCAAAUGAGUGUUACAGGUGUGGCUGCAGGGGGAUCAGACUGAGGAAGAAAGAAGCAUGUUUACAUCUGCAUAUGUGUCGCGGACAUCAGUCUGGGAGGAAUUUUUACCUUCUGAUGUUUUAAUCCCCCAUUUCUCUCCCUCUCUCCCUCCUCAUGCCCCUUUUCUGCUGUCCUCAUCAAAAUGAUGCUUAAGCAUCUCUUCAACUCUAAGUACUUUUGAUGGGAUUUCAGCUGCCUUGUAUUAUGUGGGUUUGUGUGCCUGUGAGAGUGUUUAUCUGUGUUUGUUAUUAUAGACAAUGUUCAGAAAUCAGCUCUGACAUACAGUAUUUAACAAAUUGAAUCAUAUUUAUUGUGUAAAAGUGUUGCGAAAAAUUUUGACUUCUUUAAAUUAACCGAUUAGACAAAUAAAUAAAUAAAUAAAAUAAUUGCACCAUUAAUUUGGACUAAUUAUGCAUAUUUGUUUUGUGCUUAUUUUAUUUAUUCUCUUUUAUGAACUGUUCGUUUAUUAACAGUUUGGGAUAGGCUUACAGUUAGAUGUUUUUAUUAGUUUAGUAGUAAUAAUUAAUUCCUACUUAAUUAAUUAAUAAAAUAAUUACUAAUGAUUAUAAUAAGUAUUUAAUUGUUCUAAAAUGUUUUAUGAAAAAAAAUUAAAUGAAAUUAUGAGAUAAAAUAAAAUAACAAAAUCAAAUAUAAAAUGAAAUAAGACAAAGUAAAAGAUCAGUUAAAAUAACAUACAAUAAAAAAAAAAGAAAAAAAAAAAACAUUUAAAAUAACCAAAAAAAUAAAUAAAAACAGAAAUAUUUUAGUAUAGGUCUUCAAGGAAAGUUUCCACCAUGAUUAUUUUUUUUUUUUGAAUGGAAAUCUUACACAGUAUUACAUUUUAUUUAUCUAAAAUGGUUAUUGUGCAUUAACGACUGUUAGCCAUCUUGGUACGCAAAUGAGCACUUAUGCGC
ensembl:lncRNA